UCUUUUCUUUGCUGGCGACCGGCGCACGGGUGAGUAACACGUAUCCAACCUGCCCUUUACUCGGGGAUAGCCUUUCGAAAGAAAGAUUAAUACCCGAUAGCAUAAUGAUUCCGCAUGGUUUCAUUAUUAAAGGAUUCCGGUAAAGGAUGGGGAUGCGUUCCAUUAGGUUGUUGGUGGGGUAACGGCCCACCAAGCCUUCGAUGGAUAGGGGUUCUGAGAGGAAGGUCCCCCACAUUGGAACUGAGACACGGUCCAA
rnacentral:rRNA from 1 species